UUUUAUACAUCUCUUUUAGGAGUCCCAUUUUCUCUCUUGAGCUUUUUGUUUUCUGGACACCUUUUUUACAUCUCUUUUAGGAGUCCCAUUCCUUUUAGUUUGUAGGAUGAGAGAGAGAGAUCUUUAGCAUUGGGGUGGCGGUGGGAAAGGUCCCCCACCCCGUGCCCCUCUCCUCCUCCGUCCUUUCUCUCCACCCUUUUCAUUUCCAUCAUCUCUUAUCCACCAUUUUUUCCAUUGCUCGUCCUCAUCUUGGCUUCUUCCUUCUUCUCUGCUGCUCUCUAUCUCUUUUCCUCAUUUCAUUUAGCCCAAUCAGAUUAACACCUAAGAUGGGGUGACUUUCGGGGUUCAAUACUUUGUCGAUGGUGUUUCUGGGUUUUCUUAGGGGACUGAAAGAUCUAUAUAUGAGGUGACUUUAGGUUAAUGCUUAAGAUGAUGCUCGUUCACUGGGAGCCUUGUUACGGAGCUUUGAGCUACUAUUCGAGGCUCUAAUUUUAUGAUUUUGUGGCCAAGCACAAUAUUAUGGGGAGAUGACUUUGAUUUUCGUCACCAAUUCUCCUUGUUCCUUCCCGGUCUUCACUUACAAUAACUCCACCCCUUUUCUUCUUUAGUUUUCUUCUUGUUCUUUUCCCUUUUGGCCUUUUAUGCCCCAUUGUUGGGUCGCGGUUGCAGUGUCGGCACCCUCAACUGUGCCGCUAAGCAUGUACUGAGACUCUUAUGGGCACUCCAACCCCGACUGGUGUAGGUUGUUGGUUGCUCCAACCCCGACUAUGUGGAGAACGUUGAAAGGGAGGUGCUCAAUGCUCGCUACUUGUUGGGAAGCUGAAACUAGGAAGUGAUGUUCAGAAGAAAAGGUUCUUGUGAGUUGUAUUGGAUGGAUUAGUUGGGUGCUUUGGUAGCUUUUGGUCUAGGAUUGGCGAGGUUUGUGGGAUUGUUGUGCUCUAGGAGUUAGGAUAGGUCAGUCUUGGAUUUAGGGAGUGUUUCCCAUUAUUUCUUCAUCAUGUACUAUUGUAUAUAGCAGCUUUGCUCCACUAUCCAAUGAAAUUAUAGUUAC
rnacentral:lncRNA from 1 species